GGAGUUUGGGCCGUGUCUCAGUCCCAAUGUGGCCGUUCACCCUCUCAGGCCGGCUACUGAUCGUCGCCUUGGUGGGCCGUUACCUCACCAACUAGCUAAUCAGACGCGAGUCCAUCUUAGACCACCGGAGUUUUUCACACUGUAUCAUGCGAUACUGUGCGCUUAUGCGGUAUUAGCACCUAUUUCUAAGUGUUAUCCCCCAGUCUAAGGCAGGUUACUCACGCGUUACUCACCCGUCCGCCACUAGGUUUACAAAAAGCAAGCUUCUCGUAAACCCCGUUCGACUUGCAUGUGUUAAGCACGCCGCCAGCGUUCAUCCUGAGCCAGGAUCAAACUACU
rnacentral:rRNA from 1 species